rnacentral:rRNA from 1 species
UGGAGGUUGUGGCCUUGAGCCGUGGCUUUCGGAGCUAACGCGUUAAGUAGACCGCCUGGGGAGUACGGUCGCAAGAUUAAAACUCAAAUGAAUUGACGGGGGCCCGCACAAGCGGUGGAGCAUGUGGUUUAAUUCGAUGCAACGCGAAGAACCUUACCUACUCUUGACAUCCAGAGAACUUUCCAGAGAUGGAUUGGUGCCUUCGGGAACUCUGAGACAGGUGCUGCAUGGCUGUCGUCAGCUCGUGUCGUGAGA